GACGAACGCUGGCGGCGUGCUUAACACAUGCAAGUCGAGCGGUAAGGCCCUUUCGGGGGUACACGAGCGGCGAACGGGUGAGUAACACGUGGGUGACCUGCCCUCAGCUCUGGGAUAAGCCUGGGAAACCGGGUCUAAUACUGGAUAUGACUCCAUGACGCAUGUUGUGGGGUGGAAAGCCUUGUGCGGCUGAGGAUGGGCCCGCGGCCUAUCAGCUUGUUGGUGGGGGAUGGCCUACCAAGGCGACGACGGGUAGCCGGCCUGAGAGGGCGACCGGCCACACUGGGGCUGAGACACGGCCCAGACUCCUACGGGAGGCAGCAGUGGGGAAUCUUGCGCAAUGGGCGAAAGCCUGACGCAGCGACGCCGCGUGAGGGAUGACGGCCU
rnacentral:rRNA from 1 species